GGUGGCGGUGGCGGCGGCGGUU
rnacentral:misc_RNA from 1 species